rfam:Mycoplasmataceae bacterium CE_OT135 Contig_3, whole genome shotgun sequence.
GCGGAUAUAGCGAAGUGGUUAACGCACUAGUUUGUGGCACUAGGAUUCAGGAGUUCAAUUCUCCUUAUCCGCC